rnacentral:rRNA from 1 species
GGUAUAGUAGCAAUACUAGAGACCGGCGCACGGGUGCGUAACGCGUAUGCAACCUACCUUUUACAGGGGAAUAGCCCAGAGAAAUUUGGAUUAAUGCCCCAUGGUAUAAUUGAAUGGCAUCAUUUGAUUAUUAAAGUUCCAACGGUAAAAGAUGGGCAUGCGUCCUAUUAGCUAGAUGGUAAGGUAACGGCUUACCAUGGCUACGAUAGGUAGGGGUCCUGAGAGGGAGAUCCCCCACACUGGUACUGAGACACGGACCAGACUCCUACGGGAGGCAGCAGUGAGGAAUAUUGGACAAUGGGCGCAAGCCUGAUCCAGCCAUGCCGCGUGCAGGAAGACGCAUCUAUGGUGUGUAAACUGCUUUUGUACGGGAAGAAACACUCCUACGUGUAGGAGCUUGACGGUACCGUAAGAAUAAGGAUCGGCUAACUCCGUGCCAGCAGCCGCGGUAAUACGGAGGAUCCAAGCGUUAUCCGGAAUCAUUGGGUUUAAAGGGUCCGUAGGCGGUUUAAUAAGUCAGUGGUGAAAUCUGGUCGCUCAACGAUCAAACGGCCAUUGAUACUGUUAGACUUGAAUUACUGGGAAGUAACUAGAAUAUGUAGUGUAGCGGUGAAAUGCUUAGAUAUUACAUGGAAUACCAAUUGCGAAGGCAG